rnacentral:rRNA from 1 species
UACGGAGGGUGCAAGCGUUAUCCGGAAUUACUGGGUUUAAAGGGUGCGUAGGCGGCUUGAUAAGUCGGGGGUGAAAGCCUACCGCUUAACGAUAGAAUUGCCUUUGAUACUGUAAAGCUUGAAAGGGGUUGAGGUCAGCAGAAUGUGGCAUGUAGCGGUGAAAUGCAUAGAUAUGACAUAGAACACCGGUUGCGAAGGCAGCUGGCUGGGCCUACUUUGACGCUGAGGCACGAAAGCGUGGGGAGCGAACAGG